GAACUGAAGAGUUUGAUCCUGGCUCAGAUUGAACGCUGGCGGCAUGCUUUACACAUGCAAGUCGAACGGCAGCACGGGGGCAACCCUGGUGGCGAGUGGCGAACGGGUGAGUAAUGCAUCGGAACGUGUCCUUGA
rnacentral:rRNA from 1 species